AGCCAGACUCCUACGGGAGGCAGCAGUGGGGAAUAUUGCACAAUGGGGGAAACCCUGAUGCAGCGACGCCGCGUGAGCGAGGAAGUAUUUCGGUACGUAAAGCUCUGUCAGCAGGGAAGAAGAAUGACGGUACCUGAAGAAGAAGCACCGGCUAAAUACGUGCCAGCAGCCGCGGUAAUACGUAUGGUGCAAGCGUUAUCCGGAUUUACUGGGUGUAAAGGGAGCGCAGGCGGUUCUGCAAGUCUGAUGUGAAAGCCCGGGGCUCAACCGCGGGACUGCAUUGGAAACUGCGGGACUGGAGUGUCGGAGGGGUAAGCGGAAUUCCUGGUGUAGCGGUGAAAUGCGUAGAUAUCAGGAGGAACACCGGUGGCGAAGGCGGCUUACUGGACGAUGACUGACGCUGAGGCUCGAAAGCGUGGGGAGCAAACAGGAUUAGAUACCCUUGUAG
rnacentral:rRNA from 1 species